GCUGGUUGGAGGGGUAACGGCCCACCAAGGCGACGAUCAGUAGCCGGUCUGAGAGGAUGAACGGCCACACUGGAACUGAGACACGGUCCAGACUCCUACGGGAGGCAGCAUG
rnacentral:rRNA from 1 species